AGGACCGCAGCCUUCUUCUGCAAGCCUUCUUGCCGGUUGAGAACGAGAGAAAAUCAACUCAAAAGAAAGGAAAGGCGCCUCCCCGCAUAGGGUAUGGUGUUGAACAAGAGAUUCCGAGGCAAAAGGAUUCUCUGAAUCUCUUGAAUUGCAACAGGCGAUCCAUCCCACCCACUCACCUGGCAGGAUUGUAAAAAGGACCAAGGACAACACUGAGAGGUGUAAGCUGCCUGCUUAAAGUUCGCGUGAUAGACUUACUUAGACUUGCUGCGGUUGCUGCACUUUAUUACCGAUACAGGACAACAAAAAUGAGCAAUGCUUAUCUUCAGCCCAGUUUCGUCAUGUCUUUUAUCUCCAGGCAACACUUUGGCAAAGAUGUAACAAGUGGACUCUGUUAUCAGUCUCGCAGUGGCAGCUACUGACACACACCAAUGGAACUGAAAGAACUUUGGAUGAAAUUGCCAGCUGGAACCAAGAAUGAGGAUAUCCCAUCCUUCCUCUCCUGC